UGAAACACAAACGUCAAAGAUUUUGGGCUGCUUACAAAAGCCGAGAUAAAUAUACCUCAUUCCGUUUUUAGGACUUGUCCAGUUAACUACUUUCGGCUUUAUUUGUGUUGUGGCCUUUUUUGUAGUAGAAAAAUACAGCGACUCUAUUGGCUUACAAAAGUUUGAUAUUUAAACUAAAUCUAAAGAAAACCAAUUAACAACCGUUACUCAUUCUCAUAACUCAUUUCUACCAAGUUCCUCUCAAUCUCUCUUUCAAGAUGUGUUGCGGACCUUGUGGUGGAUGCUGUGGACCCUGCGGCGGUUGCUGCGGACCAUGCUACUCCUGCUGCGGACCCUGUUAUUCCUGCUGUGGUCCAUGCUACUCGUGCUGUGGCCCCUGUGGUGGCUGCUGUGGUGGAUGUGGACCCUGUUGCUAAAAAGAACCGAAGAAACUAAUCUACAAAAAAAAAUAAGCAUGAAAGGAACAACAAACUCUUGUCAAUUUUCGCUUUACUCAUUAAAUAAAGGAUAGGUCUACAAACAUGUUUCUUGGUUGAGUAAAAUUUGUAAAUGGACUAUAAGAGCAAGAUUAUGAUAGGUUAGCUGCCUGUAGAUUCUACGAUUUUAAUAUUUUCCUUGGAUAGAGAAACUGCGCUUAUUAACGCUUUAGUUUUACUUUUCGGCGUAACGGAACGGGAUAACCAGUCCGGUCAAUAUUUUUUGUUUAUAUAGAGCAUAUAUGAAAGGUUCACAUGAAAUUUAAUUCAUUUAUGAUUUCUCACGAAUUCAAAGGGCACAUGCAGACAGGAAGACAAAUUAGAGAAAGCACAAGACCAGAUAAUAAUUCUACUCUCUAAUGCAUGUUUUUCGUAUGCAUUUAAUCAGUAAACAUUUAAAACUACGCUAUGAAGUUAAGAACAAAAGCUGCUACUCUUCAUAUUCAUAUAACCCUAAGUAGGCUCUGUGUUUCAUAAUUCAUAACACCCAAAGUAGGCUCUGUGUAAUAAACGUCAACGAUUUUGGACUGGUUAGCACAGCACUAAUAAAUAAAUCUCAUUCCGUUUUUAGGGCUCGUCCUGUUAACAACUUUUUAUUUUAUUUGUGUGAAUAUUUGUAAAAAUUUUUGGGUCUUGUUGGAAUAUUUCUCGUAAAAAAAUAAGAAAUAAAUAAAUAAAAAAAAAAAAACAUACAAAAAGACUGAUAAAGCUUGGAAUCUGAGCCUAAAAGUAAACACACAAUAUCCUAGUACUCAUUUCUACCAAAUUCUGCUCAAUCUUACUGUCAAGAUGUGUUGCGGACCUUGCGGUGGUUGCUGUGGCCCCUGUGGCGGUUGCUGCGGACCAUGCUACUCCUGCUGCGGACCCUGCUAUUCCUGCUGUGGCCCAUGCUACUCCUGCUGCGGACCCUGUGGCGGCUGCUGUGGUGGAUGUGGACCCUGUUGCUAGGUGGAAUCCAAAAUAGUUUGAAAGCUUCCAGUCUAGUAAAAAUUACGAGAAUGUCCCAACUAACCCAUAGUAAAUUUUUGUUAUCGUACAUAUAAAAUAAAACGGGUCAAUUUCAAUUUAUCAGUCUUUGGUGUGGGAAAUGGAGAAAUUUUAUAUGGGUUGCUUCUCGAUGCUGUAAACAUAUUAAAAUAGAUAUCUUUAUCAAUGUGUUUAUGGCUAAAUGGGGCUAUGCUCAAAACAAACAUUUAAAAGAAUUUUAAUAUUAAAUAAAUGGCACAUAGCCGUCAUUAAAAUGGGGAACCUCGGAUUGUAUAUAGAUUCAUGAAUAUAUUUUUAUACCCUGAACCCAUUGAAAAUGAGAAUUGUAACAGGCAGACGAAAGCUUGGUAUAGCCCCAUUUAGUAUAUAUAUUCUUUCUUGAUCAGAAUAACGAGCCCUAGAUCUGUCAAUCCGUCCGUCCGUGCAUAUGUCCAUCCGUUUAUCCGUCCAUCUUUCCGUUUAUUAUCCGUUCGUUCGUCCGUCCAUCUGUCUGUCCGUUCGUCCUUCCAUCUAUCCGUCCAUUCGUCCGUCCGUCUGUCCGUAUGUCAAUUUAAAAACCUAUAAGCUAAAGACCUGAAGUUUUGUUUAUGGGUCCCUGCAUGGCCGUGCAUAUGGUUUGUCUCAAGAAAUCGAUAAAUAUACUUAUUUUAAUGUUAUCGAUUUAGAACCUCAAAUUAUGUAGCGUUUGUUUGGAAAUAUCUCCAUCAGGAAAUCCUUCUAUCCAGCAGUCCAAGCAGUCUUUAACAAUGAAACUUCGCCUUUUGUGAAAUUCAAUCCAAGUAGUCUCUGACAUUGAAAUUUCACCAAAUUUUGCCUGGUAAUAACUCUUUAUAAAAUUAAACCUCAUUCAGUUUUUGAGGCUUGUUCAGUAAACAGCUCAAAAUAAAAAUUUUGUGUGAAUAUUUGUAAAUAUUUUGGGAAUGUUGAAUCCUUUUUUGUAAUAAAAUAACAAUACGUCGACCGCUGUGAAUUCUGGAGGCUUAAUAUCCGACUAUAUAGUUUCCUGGAAGUUAAUCAGCGGUCGUAAUUGCACGACAUCUUAGUAGCUGUUUCUGUGAAGAAGCUUAAGUCAAUCCCCAUCAAAAUGUGCUGCGGACCUUGCGGAGGCUGUUGUGGACCCUGCGGUCCUUGCUGUGGGCCCUGCGGUGGCUGCUGCGGUCCCUGCGGACCCUGCUGUGGACCCUGCGGCGGCUGCUGUGGGCCAUGCUACUCUUGCUGUGGCCCCUGUGGCGGCUGCUGUGGUGGCUGCGGUCCCUGCUGCUAAAAGAUAGCCAUCUUCAGAACGAAAUCAAGAUACUAGAGUGCAUUUAAUACUAGAAAGCAGCAGCAGACCUAAUUGUAAAUGUUUGUACUACAUAAAUGUAAAAUAAAUAAACCAAGUCUGAAAAUUGAAGAAAAACAGUGUUGUAGUCUGUCGUUUUAAUGGAACAAGUAAAAGCAUAACUAACUAAACAAAAUAAAUUCUAGCGACAAAUUUGACUGCUUAAUAUUUGUGAAGACGCUUUCUUCAGUAUGUGCUACAAAGUGGAAAAACGAAAAGAAUCAUCUUCGCCAACAAAAAAAAAACGCCUUAUGCAUCCAAACACUUUGUAAAUUUUUUAAAUAAUAUAUCACCAAAAUUUACAUAAAUAGAUGGAGGUUGAAAGCAAAGUAGAAUAGUCGAGUAGCAUGCAUUUUGUAUCGAUUUUUAUCUAUUUUGAAUAUCUUAUCAAUAAAAACAUAUAUUACCAUUACUAUAAGCAACAAAGUAGCCUUAGAUAUUUGUAUUCCUACAAGGCUCAGUUAGCUUUACAGUCAAGUACAUUCUCAUUUUACAGCUCGUCCACUGAACACCUCUAAUUUGUCGGGAAUCGACUGCUGUGGAGACCAGCAAUCGAUAAGCCAUCUUCCACCUUCAAGUGCCUCUUUCCGUGAAGUAGUUCACUACUUUGACUAUAUAGUCUUGUGGUUUUUCACUCCGUGUACUACAAUCAGGAUGUGCUGCUCUCCUUGCUACUCGUGCAGCUAUUCCUGCACCUCCCCCUGCAAUGGCUGCUGCAGUGGCUGCUGCGGCUGCAACGGCUGCUGUGGCGGCGGCUGUUGCUCGGCUGCGGCCUGCUGCUAUCCCAGCUGUUGUGGCGGUUCCUGUGGACCCUGCUGCUAGAACGGGACUAUCUUCAGAAGGAAAUCUAGGUACUUCAUAUAACGAAUAAGAUUAGAGAUCGUGGAAUCGAUAAACCCUUAAGUUCUUUAUAUCCCAUUUUGGAGAAAACAUAAUGUCAUAAUAAAUUGUAUUUUGUUCUUUUAGAGAAGGUAUUGCAUUGAUUUCGUAUUAUUACUGAUUGUAAAAAACACUCUAGCUCGCUCUACUUAUAUGUGCAAUAGAUUUAAUAUGUAUAUUAUAUAUUUGCGAAGGCAAUUCUAACCAAAAAUGUUGCCUAAGAAAAUGCUCAACAGAUAUAAUAACAUCAAAUAUAUGGGGAUAAGUCGGAAACUUAUGCUUACUUAAAGGAAAUCAAAUUAGAAAAUAAAGAUAGGAUUGAAUUUGCUUUCGCAAAAUUGUCGGUUGAAGCGAGUUUCAACAUUUUGUUAAUCGAUUGAUAUUUAUCGAAUAUAUCUAUUACUGAAUAUAUUUAUGUAUAUUGCCUUGACUAACGGCAACAAAGUAACCUUAGAUAUUCGUAUUUCUAAAAAGCUCAGUUAGCUCUCCAGCCAAGCCCAUUCCCAUUUUAAGGCUUGCCCACUGAACAUCUCUAAUUUUUCGGGAAUCGACUGCUUGGAUACCGGUGAUCGAUAGGCCAUCUUCCCCCCAUCCACUGCCUUUUUCCGUGAAUUGGUUCACCUACGACUGAGUUGACUGUAUAGUCUAGUAUAUUUCACUCGAUACCAGAAUGUGCUGCUCUCCCUGCUAUUCGUGUAACUAUUCCUGCACCUCCCCCUGCAAUGGCUGCUGCAGUGGCUGCUGCGGCUGCAACGGCUGUUGUGGCGGCGGCUGUUGCUCGGCUGCGGCCUGCUGCUAUCCCAGCUGUUGUGGCGGUUCCUGUGGACCCUGCUGCUAGAACGGAACUAUCUUCAGAAGGAAAUCUAGGUACUACAUAAGAUUAGAGAGAUCAUGGAUUCGAUAAAUUCUGUAUUUGCAUUUUUAAAGAAAACACAAUGUGAGAAUAAAUUGUAACGUUUUUUUCUGUA